GGAGGGCUUUGGGUCACCUCCCACCCGUGUUUAUUUUACCUUGUUGCUUCGGCGGGCCCGCCUUUACUGGCCGCCGGGGGGCUCACGCCCCCGGGCCCGCGCCCGCCGAAGACACCCCCGAACUCUGUCUGAAGAUUGAAGUCUGAGUGAAAAUAUAAAUUAUUUAAAACUUUCAACAACGGAUCUCUUGGUUCCGGCAUCGAUGAAGAACGCAGCGAAAUGCGAUACGUAAUGUGAAUUGCAAAUUCAGUGAAUCAUCGAGUCUUUGAACGCACAUUGCGCCCCCUGGUAUUCCGGGGGGCAUGCCUGUCCGAGCGUCAUUGCUGCCCUCAAGCCCGGCUUGUGUGUUGGGCCCCGUCCUCCGAUUCCGGGGGACGGGCCCGAAAGGCAGCGGCGGCACCGCGUCCGGUCCUCGAGCGUAUGGGGCUUUGUCACCCGCUCUGUAGGCCCGGCCGGCGCUUGCCGAUCAACCCAAAUUUUUAUCCAGGUUGACCUCGGAUCACGUAGGGAUACCCGGCUGAACUUAAGCAUAUCAAUAAGCGAGGG
rnacentral:rRNA from 1 species